rnacentral:rRNA from 1 species
GACGAACGCUGGCGGCGUGCUUAACACAUGCAAGUCGAGCGGUAAGGCCCUUUCGGGGGUACACGAGCGGCGAACGGGUGAGUAACACGUGGGUGACCUGCCCUUAGCUCUGGGAUAAGCCUGGGAAACUGGGUCUAAUACCGGAUAUGACCUCAUGACUCAUGUUGUGGGGUGGAAAGCCUUGUGCGGCUAGGGAUGGGCCCGCGGCCUAUCAGCUUGUUGGUGGGGUAAUUGCCUACCAAGGCGACGACGGGUAGCCGGCCUGAGAGGGCGACCGGCCACACUGGGACUGAGACACGGCCCAGACUCCUACGGGAGGCAGCAGUGGGGAAUCUUGCGCAAUGGCGAAAGCCUGACGCAGCGACGCCGCGUGAGGGAUGACGGCCU